rnacentral:pre_miRNA from 1 species
AUGGGAAUCACCUGAGGAUUUUAUUAAAGUACAGACUAUGUUUCAGUAAAUCUGGAUAGAGCCUUAUAUUUUGCAUUUCUGGUGAGCUUCCAGGUGGUGCAGAU